rnacentral:misc_RNA from 1 species
GUUUUUCCCUUAACACACUUAACUUUCCUACCUGUUCCAAUUCUCCUAACUGGUACAACAUCAUCAGAGUCCUCCGAUUCCAGUACAUCUAACCACCAGCUGAACUUCUUCACUGUAAUUGGAGGUAACAUAGCUUUCACAUGAUCUUCCUUCGUUGAUUCAUCGAACGGCCAGCAUUUCACCACGUCCACACUCCUCACCUUCGC